rnacentral:lncRNA from 1 species
CGCUUCCACGUGCGCUUCUUCUUCAAAGAACCUCUCUGGUCUAAACUCUUCAGGUUUCUUCCAGCUGUUGGGAUUGUUUGCUAGCCACCAAGCAUUGACAAGGAUUUUGCUUUCUGCUGGGAUAUCGUAGCCAGCGAGCUUGGCGUCGUGGAGGUUCAUGUGAGGCACGAGGAGAGGAAUCGCCAUUCUUAGACGAAGUGUCUCCUUGAUCACUGCUUGAAGGUAUGGAAGCUUGUGAAGCUCAGGCUCAGUCACUUGCACACCAGGUCCAAGAACCGUGUCGAUUUCAUUCCUUAGCUUACUCUGGAUUUCAGGAUGGUUCACUAGCUCCGCAAUUCCCCAUUCGAUUGACCACAAUGUUGUCUCAAUCGCUGUUUCAGCAGAAAUCAAGAAAUCAGCAUCACAAAACUGUACAAAUCCCCAUAGCCUCUUCAGGGGAGACCAAAAAACAAUCUAGAUGAGCCUAAUUUGCUAUUAUUGUUAACAAUUCCAAAUUCAUAGGAUUCACAUAAAACACUAAUGUCCAAUUCCUUAUGCAAGCAGAGACGUCUAAAGGAUUGAUUACGUAUCCUACAAGUAAGAAAUAGAAGUUACCAG